GGGGCUAUAGUUCAGCUGGGAGAACGUCUCGUUCGCAACGAGAAGGUCAGGGGUUCGAAUCCCCUUAGCUCCA
rnacentral:tRNA from 1 species